rfam:Picea glauca, whole genome shotgun sequence.
AUGUAUAUGCCUACAACAUAGCGUUAAUGCACUGGAUCCCAUUAGAACUCCGUAGUUAAACAUGCUCAGGUUAGAGUAGUAUUGGGAUGGGUGACUGCUCGGGAAGUCCUAGUUUUUUACAUG